rnacentral:misc_RNA from 1 species
GCCCUCUGUCCAGGAGUCUCCUGAGAUACAAGUAGCAGAGGAUGCAGACAAAGACAAUACAGCUAUUGUCAAGAGAAGUGGUAGGUCCUUGUGGAAUAUUAUUGGAGAUAUUGUUCAUUUGCGAUGGUCUCGUUCUGAUCGCCAUACUUUGACCUCUAAAUCUAGUCGAAGGAGCUCAUCUAAUCAAUCCACAAGUAGCGAAACAUGGUUUUCUGGUGCAGAGGAUAAUAAUAGUGAGAAUGCAAAAAAAAUCAGAAGGCCGAACCAAGAAUCUGCAUCUUUGGACUGGCAACAGCAGAAAAUUGUUCGCUCUCAUAGUUCUGGCGAAGCAUCCAGCUCAAGGGCACAUAUGAAGUACACAUCAUAUUCACCAAUUGUUUUACAGAGCAGCUCACCAUCUAAAACUAUUCAACUGCCUUCUGCUGAAGACACUACUGGUAAAAACUUUCAAGGUAU